rnacentral:tRNA from 1 species
GGAAGUGUGGCAUAGCUGGUAAAGCUGCCAGCUGCAGUGCCGGCAUCACAUAUGGGUUCAGGUUCAAGUCCUGGCUGUUCCA